ensembl:lincRNA
AAAAGAAUUUCUCAUUGUAUGCGGUGGGGAAGGGCAACGAGAGGAAAGCGCUGGGAAAUGAUUGAGUGACAUUUCUAUUUGCCAGUUUGACUUCUCCACCAGUGGAGGCCGUGGUUUGGGGCUGCCAGAGAACUUCAGCUUCCUGGUGUGGACUAGAAAUGCCAGACCCCUGGAAACAAAUAAAUGGGAAGAAGAAAAUGCGAGGAGCAAGAAAUGGAUUUGAAGAGUCAGUGUGACCUCAAGUUUAUAUUGCUGGUAACAGAGAAGUGUAAGGUAGGCAGAGAGUUCUGUGUUUUGCACAACUUCUUCCUAAGGAGGGGAUGUUUUAAAUGCUAGGCUCUCAGGUUGAAGGGAACUCAGAAGUCAUCUGGAUCUGCUUUCUUUGGUACGUAGAGAGAGGCAGAUGUCCUCUGUAAAAUCCCCACACUGGUCAGACACUUAAAUGAAUAUAUUUAAUGGAUAAAUUCAUACAAAAGAUAUUUAUGGAGCAUCAACAACAUUUCACAGGUAGUAAAGUACAGGUAUUUAGGGGAUGUUAGAGACUAUCAGGACAUAACACUUGCACAAAGUAACUCACAGCUUCCUGGAGGACUCCAACAGCUAAGUGCCAGGGAGACAGUGAUCAGUGCUGUGAGAAGGAAGCUGAGGAGAAUAUUGGCCUUGACCAAAAAUCCCUUAGCAGCCAGGUGCUUACCCAAACGAUCUCCUUUCAUCCUGACACCGACUCCUGCAAAUAAGACCUCUUAUUCACAGGCAGUGACAGCUGAUGUUCGGAGGGGUGAAUUUGCUUUCUUGAGGUGACACAGCCAGGAAUGAGGAAUAAGAGAGCAUGGCAACACUGUCUGUCCCAGGCCUGUGGUCUUACCACCAGGACAAGCGACUUUGCAAAAGUAUUGGUCCCAGUGAUAAAAAGCCAACUAAUACACACAGAAACCUACACUUUGCAUGAAUCUUGGGAAAGCAUGAUACCUAAGAAUGGAACAUGUGCCUGCUUCGUGAGCUCCAGCCACCAGAUAUCCUCAGUUUCUGCUCUUGAAAUCUGCACACUGGUCUUUCUGUCCAAGGGAACUUUCCUGGGAGCUGGGUCACACAUAGGGCAGAAUGUGCUCUCUGGGCGUCUCUCAGGAAUGCAAUAGUGUGUCCCUAACUCUCUCCCUGUCCAUGGAGGUGAGUUGGUAAGAUGGACUGAUGGAUUCUAUGAGCAGUGUCUGCACCCCAGCCCUAUACUGAUUGUGCUAGACAGAGCUGUUUAAAUACCACCAGACAGAAUAUUACUUAAAUUAAAAUGAGGCCUUAAAUGUCAUUAUUUGUGUCAUUAUUAAUAGCCCCUAAUUGUGUUCUCUAAUCAUCAUGAAAUUAUGUUAGUAUUAAUAUUCACGUCAAAGCUGCCUAGGGAACUUGAAAGAUUUAAAAAAAUUAUACCAUAUGUCAGUUCCCAUGAACGUGAAGCAAAUUCUGGUUUUAGUGCUUAAGCUCAGGCUGGAGAUGAGACAGUGGGCUGCAAGUGAGACUGGACUAGCCCUCCCCUCCUCCUCCCCAAGUGACUUGCUCCUGGUGGCUUCUACCUGGCAAGGUCCUGCAAGGCAUCAGGAGGACCAGUUUCCCUGGAGUACCCUGCAGGUCUCAGUUAGUUACUCCCACUGGCAAGGGGAAUGGAGAAUGUUUGCGCUCUUCUCUCCUCUCACACCAACAGUUUCCUUUGUCUAGACACCAAAAUUAAACCUGUGCUAUCAUCCUGUUCUGCCUGUCCUCAGUCUCCAUCUAUUCAUAGGCCCCACCUCAGUGCAUUUUGAAAUCUGUCCAUACGGCUUGGAGAAGUGACAAGAAAGAAAGAAAGUUGAGUGUCCUCAAGAAAUGCACUGCAUAAUAUAAUGUAGAAUUUUCAGACAAUGUAGAGUCAAAAUUUAAAAGUAUGUCCAUACAGGGCAUCCAUAAAAUCUGGAAACAGGUGAAGCUAUCUGCCCCCAUG